CUACGGGCGGCAGCAGUGGGGAAUAUUGGACAAUGGGGGAAACCCUGAUCCAGCAACGCCGCGUGUGUGAAGAAGGCCUGCGGGUUGUAAAGCACUUUCGGUUGGGAGGACUGCUUCUAGCACUAAUAUUGUUGGAAGUUGACGUUACCUUCAGAAGAAGCACCGGCUAACUCCGUGCCAGCAGCCGCGGUAAUACGGAGGGUGCAAGCGUGAAUCGGAAUUACUGGGCGUAUAGCGCGCGUAGGCGGCUAGAUCAGUCGGGUGUGAAAGCCCCGGGCUUAACCUGGGAACUGCAUCCGAUACUGUCUAGCUUGAGUACAGGAGAGGAGAGUGGAAUUCCACAUGUAGCGGUGAAAUGCGUAGAUAUGUGGAGGAACACCAAUGGCGAAGGCAGCUCUCUGGCCUGAUACUGACGCUGAGGUGCGAAAGCGUGGGGAGCAAACAGGAUUAGAUACCCGUGUAGUC
rnacentral:rRNA from 1 species